GAGUUGAUUGCUGUGUUCCUAUGGGCCGACCCAUUUUAUCUUCAUAAUCCAUUUUGAGCCCAUAUUGGCCCAACUACUCCAGCCUCUCGAUCGGCCGAUUUCUAUCAACUCCCUUCGCCGAAACAUUGCAGCACCAAUCGGCCGAUCUCCAACUGUAGCACCAAUCGGUCGAUUCCCAAUCGUGACCUCCGUGCCUCGCCGCAUCAGCUGAUUCUCACCCUUCUUGACACCGAUUCCAUACGUGUCAAAAUCUGGCGUCAACACAUGCCCCCCAGUUUCGGAGUAAAAUAUAAUCUUUACUUUGAAAUUCCUUUUAACUUCCCUUCCGAAACAAACGCAUUGAAAAUGCCCUUCCGUUUCGCAGCCUUCAGCCUGAUGAUUGCAAUCUUUUCAAAACGGACGCCCACGACAACCACUCCUCCCGAAAAAAUCGAACGGCCGGCACAGUAAAAAUCCCGCUUUUACCCCUUCUCAGACCACCCUUAAAUAUCAGCACGUCCUGUACUUCUUUUCACGAGCUCACGUCUUCCUUCUUUGGCGCACUGAUCUCCUUGUUCCUCCGGCAUCUUCCCUAGCCUCCAAUCUUUCCCUCCGGCAUCUCCUUCCAUCUACAUUCCAUCUCGCUUCCCCAAUGGCGACACCCUCAGGCACUUCACCAACAUCCGAAGCCCCAGAGACGGCUCCACCAGCGGCGGCUCCAUCGGCGGGAGCGGGAGCUCCAUCGGCGGGAGUGGGAGCUUCGAUGGAGGUCCCACCAACGGCUUCAGCACCCGUAGCUUCGCCGGCGAUCCUGCCAACCACGAUGAGCUUCAUCCCGGAGGUUUUUACCGAAACUUUUCUUUCUUUAAUACCAAUGUAUUUACCUUAGAUCCGUUCUUACUUCCGCCCCCUUUUUCCUUUUUUAGGCGGUUAGACACCAGAUUACCAUUCGCCUUACCAAAACCCCCGGUCUUAUCUGCCUUGGUCCCAUGGGAAACCCAGAUCCAACUGACUUGAUCAAUUUGGAAACCCAUAGAAUUCCAUUCAGCGAUCAACCAUGGACCUAGACCAUUGGUCAGGCACUUUCAGAUCAUGGUCGAAUGAAACCCCCGGUUGGAGGGAAUGGUACCAACGGAUAGCCGCCUCCAAGAGAGUUCAAUGGGACGAGCACAAAAUCGGCCAGUGCAUCGAUCUGUCUUUGUCCCAAAUGGAAAGGAAUGAGCCCUUAGUAAUAGCGGCCUCCUACUUUUGGUCCGACGCUCUCAACGCGUUUCUCUUCAGACAUGGGCCUAUGACUCCCACCUUGGCCGAUGUGGUCAUGUUGACCGGGCCUCAAUAUUUCCUCCCUUGAUACUCCUUUCUGUUACCUGGCCAAAACAAGACGGUCGGGACAGUCGCAGAAAGGGAGCAUGCGGCCUUCUUGAUGAUGUGGCUAGAGAAACACCUCUUUUGCGGAAGGGUAGCCGGUCCAUCCACAAACACACAGGCUCUGGCCAAGGCGCUAUCGAUAGGGGCUUCUGUUCCUCUUGGAAAGCAUUUAUUGGGAUCAGUUUAUCAUAUGUUGCACUAGAUCAGCAUCAAGGUAUCCAAAGGGGAGCCGAUUGGAAAUCCAGGUGGACCCUGGUGGUUCAUCAACUUGUGGCUCAACCUGUACAUGAGCAAGAUCUCCCAACAGCGAGUGGAGUACAUGAUAUCUCCCAACAUUGAAUCGGCAGAGAACCCCACUGUACGGCGCCGGUGCACUUCCUUCGGUGAAGCGGCAUUGGCCUUCUUUGGUUGCUCAUAUUCUGCUACCAAGGUGGCUGAAUAUUUCAGAUGCUUCUACAAUGGCUUCAGCGAAGACGCAACCAGCUGGUUCCCUUAUCAAAGGGAGGAACCACUCUUCGAGCUCCCCUCCUGUUUUGACUCAGCCACUAGAAAAUUUGAUGAGGACCUCACAGAUGAGUUGAUCAAGCCGGGGAUCCUGCCGGCAAAUUUCUUUUCGGGGAAGGACGCCCCCACUUAUGAGUUUUACAACCCUUCUGUUGCAGCAUGGCAAUUCGGCUUAGAUCAACUGCCGAUUUAUGCAUACUUCGCCGGUCGAGCAAAAUUCAGAGAGGAGCUCACCAAAGGUCUCGACUACAGUCGGCUACAUGAUCGGAUCCCAAACUCCAGCACCAUAGACCUGGCCGAUUGGAUAGUGGCCCCUUUCGCCGUUCAGCAGUUCAAGCUAUGGUGGGCCAAAUGGAAAUAGCAUCUAUUCUGAGCUUCUGCGGCGAUAUAUUGCAAUCUCCUGGAUCCCAACAACAUCGACCCGAAUGCCGAGGUAUCGCUCUCUAUUUAGCCGAUUUUCAACUUCCUCUUUUUAUAUACUGAUUCUUAUUAUUUUUUCAGUCUGAGAGUCGUGCUCCCCGAAAACGUAGUCGGAGUGGCCGGCCGAUAGAGGACCGUUAUCCAUACACGGAAUUUCCCCUCAUCGGCUAUCAUGCCCCCUCUGUUGAUGACAUAGCCGGCCGGGCGAAACAAGCGCAGAAGAAGAUCAUCAAGAAAACCAGUCGCCGGGUGCGAGCCCGCACAAAAUCGGCCGAUCCACCCGCGGCUGUAUCGGCGGAAACUUUGAUUGUGCCGACCCUCCCGGUCGCUGAAGAAGUUGACCUCCAAGCUGCUACAGAAGCCGGAGCGGCUGCCGCGUCAUUAUUGGUGGAAGCCAUUCAGGUUAAACUCGUCAUCUGAUCUCUCCUGGUCGUUAUUUCAAUACUGACCUUUCCUAUAUUAGGCCGCAUAGACUGCUUCAGAAGAUCCACAGCAAACGGCGAUGCCCCAAGCAGAAGUUGAAAUACCAGUGCCCCCUUCCGUCGAGGUACAUGAUCUCUCAAUUCAAUUCUUUAAUAUUUGAAUCAUGACCUUACCCAUCUUGACACAGGUCAUCGCCACAUUACCUAUGUUAUCCGACCAGCCACCUGUCAGAGAAGUCCCUCAAGAGGUCAGCCUAAGCAGAACGCCGAUCGUUGUCGAAUCCUCUUCUUCUGAUGAGCCAAUUGCACCAGCCCCUGAGUCGAGAGUAGCGAUUCCGCAAACGCAGAUGGAAGAGAUCUGCUUUAAAGAAGUAAGAAGUCACUCAACCCACAUUGGCCAAUUUGCUACCACCAUCGGUUGACUUACUUUCCUUCUAUUUAUCAUUUUGCAGGAAUAGGAUACUCCCAAUAAUAGCCUCUUCUCAUUUGCGGUCGCGCUCUCUGAUGACAAGGAAGUCGCCUCUCAUCAAGUCACUUUGAGCUCCGUCCCCGAUGACGUCCGUGCUAAGCUUGAAAGUAUACGGUCCCUUCUCCAAGAAGACAUCGGCCAAUUGGUGGAGGAUGCCUCGCCGAUUCGGCAGCUCUUUGGUGACGUUAGCGGCCGAGUCCCAGAGGAAGCAGAAGAAGCCUUAGCACCCGCCUCUUAUAUUGAAUUGAUGCGGAUCCCGGUCUUCAGGGCCCUGCGUCACAUGGCCGAUCGCGCCAAGCUGGCCAAGACUCGUGAGGAGGAGGACUCGUACAAUCAUCGGGCCCAAGAGGUACACCAUCGGAUUCACUUCCUCGAGAACUUCCGUCCCGGACUCGUCGGUACGAUAGAUCGUCUCAAGCGCCGAAGAGCAGAACUUUCCAAGGAGAUGGAGCAAGUAACCAAGGAGAUAGCCAUUGAAGAGAAGAAGCUUCAGAAACUUCCCUCCGUUAUCGCCGAUUUGAAGCAGGAGAGGCAGCAUCUGGCCCACGAGGCCCUCGAACUUCACUGCCAUAUGUCAGAAGUCCCAAGGUCGGCGGAGGAUGACCAGCGAGUCUUAGACUCGGUCGAAUAGAUCAGGCGUCGAGCGAUCGUGGCCAUCAACGCCCUUCUGGGAUGAUCUGUAAAAGUACUGGCCGUUUUGUAAGAACAUUAAUGCCUUUUGACCGUCCUUCGUGGCGCCCUCUUAUUUAUUACCCCUUUUACUUUGACGGGACGUGUCUUACCAAACCCCUGCCCUUUCUCUUCUUAUAAAUACCGGUCCUGGUUUCGCCCUCGAGAAUACCUGCUCCACUUGAUUUCUUUCUCCUCGAUUACGUUUUAUUGGAACAUUUGGAGUCAUGUCUUCUUCGUCUUCCUCUUUCUCCUCCUCUUCUGUCAAUCAGGUACGAGAUCCGUCUCCGCUUAUUUCAGUUUGAUUCCUUUAACUCGUCCUAACUUUUAGAAAAUGUCGUGGCGGGGACAUCUCACCCGGUGUUGGAUCGAAGCCAUCCCCUUCCUCACCAGGUUGAGGCGGAAGCCGUGAUGAGAGAUGUGGAAGAACGAAGCACCCGCCUCCUGAUAGAAUUAGGUCGAAUUGAGAGGGAACUCAAGAAGAAACGCAGUUGAGUAUUUUUGUUCUAAAGGCGACUUGUACCGCGUCAGCCGUGUAACUCAUCGUCCGUACCGAAUGAUAAAUCGGCCGAUUUGAACGAUUAUUUUUCUCCUUUAGGCAAUUCCUUUUUCUGCAUCGGCUACAUGAUUAUCUAGGAAACAACCGUUCUGUCCUGCCAUGCCUCAUAAUGAUUUUUAUGCAUCGACCCAUAUACUGGGGUAGUAUCUUUUCAAGUACCUCCCAUUCAAUGCCCUAGUAAAUUCUUCUCCUUCGAUUGUCUCCAGAAUGUACGCAUUUCCCGGAGCGCAUCGGCCGAUUCUAUACGGACCUUCCCAAGUGGGAGACCAUUUACCAAAUUUAGGAUCUUUAGAUCCAAUCGGCAGCACUAACUUCCAUACCAAAUAUCCUUGGGAGAACUGCUUGACUUUGACCUUCUUGUCAUACCAUCUGGCCACUUUCUUUUUGUUUUUCUCGAUACUGAUCAAGGCUCUCAAACACUGACCCACCAAAUCGUCGAGUUCCCUCUUCAUGAGCGAGGAGUAAUCAUCGGCCGUCAGCUGAUCUUGAAGCGACGUACGUCUUGAUCCUGUUCUCAACUCCCACGACAAUACCGCCUCAUGAGCGUACACCAGUUAAUAAGGGGACACCUUAGUAGCUCCGUGGUAGGCCAUCCUGUAUGCCCAUAAAGCUUCGGUUAGACAUAAGUGCCAUUUUUGGGUUGUUCCUCAAUCUUCCUCUUGAUCAACUUAAUUAUCCCCUUAUUGGAAGAUUCGGCCUGGCUGUUAGCCUGAGCAUAAUACGGGGAGGAAUUUAGCAGCUUGAUCCCCAUAUCGGCCGUGAACUCCUCGAACUCUCCCGACGUGAACAUCGUCCCUUGAUCGGUUGUGAUAGUCUGAGGGAUGCCGAAACGAUAGACAAUAUGGUCCCUCACGAAAUCGACCAUAGCGGCCGACGUUACGGCCUUUAAUGGAAUUGCCUCCACCCAUUUGGUGAAAUAAUCUGUGGCUACCAGAAUGAAUUUAUGUCCUUUACUUGAUGGAGGAUAAAUUUGUCCGAUGAGGUCUAUUCCCCAACCUCUGAACGGCCAUGGCUUGAUAAUUGGAUUCAUAGCCGAUGCGGGCGCGCGUUGCACGUUCCCAUAUUUUUGACAAUCUUGACAUCCUUUAUAAUAUUUGAAACAGUCCUCAAGGAUUGUCGGCCAAUAAUACCCAUUAUUCCUAAUCAUCCAUUUCAUCUUAUGCGUCAAUUGGUGGGCUCCACAGUCCCCUUCGUGGAUUUCUCCCAUCAGGGUCUUCGCCUCCUCCGUCCCUAGGCAUUUGAGUAGAACACCAUCAAUUGUCCGGUAGAACAAGUCAUUUUCCAGUAACACAUAUUUUGUGGCCUGAAAUCGUAUUCGCCGAUCCACUUUCUUAAACAGGUCUUUUAAAUAAUCGGCGAUCUCAUUUCGCCAGUCGUCGGCCGCGAGUUCCAGAACCAUGGCGCCUUGAAUCGGCCGAUACCCGGACGUGUGCUGGGCAAGCCUGUUGGCCUCUUGAUUAUAAUCCCUGGGGAUAUGCUCAAUAACCGCGGAUUUGAAUUCUUUGAGAAGCUGGAGGCAAUCUUCAUAAUAAAUCCUUAACACGUCAUCCUUGCACUCGGAUCUUCCUGUCAAUUGGUCCACGAUGAGCAUGGAAUCUCCAAAAAUCUCGACGGUGUCGGCCUUAAUCUCUCUUAGCAAUUGUAACCCUUUUAGGACGGCCCGGUACUCCGCCUGGUUAUUGGUGGCGGAUGCUUCUAUCGGCAGAGAGAAAUCAUAACUUGCCCCCCGAGGCGAUAUGAGAACGAUGCCGAUUCCCGAUCCGGCCCCACAUGACGAGCCAUCGAAAUAUAAGGUCCAUGGUACUGGUUCCACGACGGUGAUUUCUGGUCCGCAGUGCUGGCGACGAAAUCGGCCAUAACCUGACCUUUGAUGGCUUUUGUCGAUUUGUAUCGUAGAUCAAACUCCGAUAAAGCCAAAAUCCACUUUCCGAUCCACCCUUUCAAAAUUGGCAAUGACAGCAUGUACUUCACUACGUCGUCGUUGCAUACGACUAUGCAUUCUGCCGAUAAUAAGUAGUGCCUGAGCUUGGUGCAUGAGAAGUAAAGACAUAAGCAUAGCCGCUCUACCGGGGGAUAUCUUGUUUCGGCAUCCAAAAGUCUUCUGCUAACAUAAUAUAUCACCCAUUCCUUUCCCUCAAACUCCUGGAUUAACGCUGACCCGAUAGCUCGCUCGUCGGCCGAUAAAUACAGCUUGAACGGCUUACCAGUUUGUGGUGGGACCAACACGGGAGGCGAGGCCAAGUACUGCUUGAUGUCUUCUAGAGCUUUGCGUUGCUCUUCUCCCCACACGAAUUCUUGGUCAGGUUUUAAUUUUAAUAAUGGUGUGAAGGCCUAGAUACAUCUGGACAGGUUGGAUAUGAAUCUUCUGAUGAAAUUGACCUUGCCGAUCAAGGAUUGCAACUCGCUUUUAUUCUGCGGGGCCACGACUUUAUUGAUAGCCGCUAUAGUCUUCCGGUUGAUCUCUAUCCCACGCUCAUGAACCAUGAAACCCAAGAAUUGUCCGGCGGAUACGUCGAAAGCACAUUUGUUCGGAUUCAUUUUUAACCCAUGCCUUCUUGUGCAUUCCAACACUUGCCGCAAAUCGGCCAGAUGUUCCUGGUGUCCUUUUGAUUUGACCACGACGUCGUCGAUGUAAAUUUCUACCAGUAUGCCGAUAAGUUUGUAGAAUAUGUAAUUCAUGGUUCGUUGAUACGUGGCACCGGUGUUCUUCAAACCGAAAGUCAUUACCACCCAUUCGAACAAUCCGAGGUGACCUGGGCACCUGAAAGCUAUUUUCGAUAUGUCCUCUUCGGCCAUUAGUAUUUGAUUGUAUCCGGCAUUUCCAUCCAUGAAACUGAUGACUUUGUGACCCACGGCGGCGUCUAUUAACACAUCGGCCCUCGGCAUCGGGUAUCCGUCCAUUGGCGUAGCUUGAUUAAGGUUCCUGAAGUCAAUGCACAUGCGUAGCUUUCCGUUCUUCUUGUAUAUGGGCACGAUGUUGGAGAUCCAUUCGGCAUAACGGCAUUUCCGAAUAAAUUUCGCUUCAAUCAGCCUUGUGAUUUCGGCCUUUAUAUCAGGUAAGAUUUUGGGAUUACAUCAUCGUGCAGGCUGCUGAUAUGGCCGAUAUCCUGGCUUUAUAGGCAACCGGUGUUCGACAAUAGACCGGUCUAAUCUGGGCAUUUCAUGGUAUUCCCAGGCAAAGCAAUCUUUAAACUCUUUCAAUAAAUCUGUCAAUUUACAUUUGUAUUCCGGAUCCAAAUUAGCACUAAUGUACGUCGGCCUCGGCUUGGUGCCAUCGCCUAAAUCUAUCAUCUCUAAUGAAUCGACCGACGUGAACCCGUGCCCUAGCUUCCCGUCUUCCCGGACGAACUAAUCCAUUUAAUCUGAAUCUUCGAAGCCGACUGCUCGGAUCGGUUGUAGACCAAAAUCAGACACCUUCAGGAAAUCAGUGUCCCAAAUUCUCCUGGAUAUGCACUUGACGUUCUCGCAGCUCCAUUGCUGCGUAUCGGCCGCCGCGACGCUGUAUGCAGAAUCGGCGGUGACCACUUCGAUGUUAUCGCCGACCCACUGCACGAGGUAUUGGUGCAUUAUAGACGGGAUGCAGCAAUUUGCGUGUAUCCAAUCUCGGCCGAGUAGCAUGUUGUAGGACCCUUUGCCAUUAAUAAUAAAGAAAGUGGUGGGAAGGGUCUUACUGCCCAUGGUGAGGUCGACGCAGAGCGCGCCACGGGAAGGGGACACGUUGCCUUCGAAGUCUUUGAGCAUCAUGUCCGUCUUGGUCAGAUCGUCAUCACUUUUUCCUAGCUUCCGGAACAUGGUGUACGGCAUGAUGUUGACAGCAGCUCCUCCAUCUACUAGUAAUCUAGUGACGGGUCAGCCAUUGACAUGUCCUUUGAGGAAUAAUGCCUUGAGGUGUUGCCGUUUUUCGUCCUCGGGUUUCUCGAAUGUGGCUGUCAUUGGCUCCAAAGCCAAUUGCGCCAACUGUUCUUCUAUCGCCGACAUGUUAUGUCGGUCGGAGGGAGUCAUGAAUUCCAUUGGCAGAAUGAAAACCAUGCUGACAUCGGCUGCCGAUUCUUGGUUGUCGUCGUCUUCCCUGUCGUUUCUUUUGGGGCGCCAAACCUGAGGCCUGUCGUUGUUCUUGUCCAUCAUCUGUUGUUGCUCUUCUUCCUGUUGUUCCCAUUGGCGGAGACGUUGGAUUCUUCAUUUUUGAGAUUUAGUCAAUCCGUCAGGGCACCACCUGGGGUUUACUGGUUUAGCUGAUGGUUUGGCGCGUUCCAUUCUGGUUCGCGUCCCAAGGGGUUCUCGUCUGAUACCCGAGCAUCGGCCAUCUCUUCUAGCCGAUCGUGAGCGCUGACUCUAUCUUCUGGUUGGUUGUACCGAUUGGUCCUGGCCUCUGGUUGGUCGCGCCGAUCAAAUCUGCCCCCCAGCCUAUCGUUUCGCUCACGCCUAUCUUCCAACCAGUCGUAUCGGUCACUUCUGCCCCCCAGCCGAUCACGCACUGAAGGGCGCUGGUCCUCUUGCUCGCGCCAGUUUCUGCUGAUCGGCUCUGGCCUUCCAUCUCUGGAGCAAGAUCUUCUGAAUGGCCGGUUGUUGCAAUAUGGGCUGUUGCACUCAGGGCAAUUAUCGGCCGAUGGCAACCUAAGGUUACUCUCCCAGUAGUGGAUGAAUAACGGGCAUCGCCAGUGAUCUUCAUGUCGUCGCAUCAUCUCUUCCCGGAAUCUUGAACUUUCUUGUUGUCGUUGAUACUUGUUAAGCAGAAAUUGGGAGGUGAUGGGCCUGCGUGGUUCUCCCGAUCCUUCGCCUUCAUCCUCCAUCCGUCGUUUCCCCUUGACGUCUUCGGGCACUGCUUGAUUUUUGGGAUCUACGGCGCCGCUCUUUUUAGCCGAUUCAGAUGUUAGCACCUUGGUUUAGAGUGAGUUCCUUCCUGUAUCAACCAUGUUGGUGGGGAAGGGAUGCUGAUCGAUCUUCAUCAGCUUUACUGGCUUUGUCGGGACAUCGAAUUUGAGCCAGCCCUGCUCGAUGGCCGAUUGUAUUUGCUGUCGGAAGAUCUUGCAUUCGUUCGUAUCAUGGGAGGUGGCAUUAUGCCACUUGCAAUAUUUCAUCUUCUUUAGCUGGCCGAUGGGAUCGUAUGGUAUGGUGAGAGCUUGAUUUAUCCUUCCUGGAGGAGGAGAUCGAAGAUUUUAUCGGCCUUUGAUGUGUUGAAACCGAAUGCCUCUGGCUCCUUCUUUCCAAACGGGCACGAUAUCGGCUUCUUCCCUUUGACCCAUUCCGCCAGGCCAAUUUCUGUUUCUUCUUCGGACUCAGCCCCUUCUAAGUACGCCACCUUCUUCUGGAAAUUCCUCCGUGGAUCAAAGGGGCGUACUUCCUGGGCGGACAGUCGAUGUACGAUUUAGCUCAGGCUCUCAAACUCCUGUGAAGCAUAUUUUUCUUUGAUGUGAGGCAAGAGACCCUGGAAGGCUAUAUCGGCCAAUUGUGCGUCGGUUAGGACUAGGGUGUAGCAUUUGUUUCUGAUCUCCCUGAACCUCUACACGUAUGUGGACACCGGCUCAUCACUCCUUUGUCUCAGGCUGGUUAAGUCUGAAAGCUUCAUCUCAUGUACCCCCGCGUAGAAGUAUUUGUUGAACUGCUUCUCCAAGUCGGCCCAUGUAAUUAUGGAGUUGGGUGGCAGUGUAGUAAACCAUUGGAAGGCCGACCCGGACAGGGAUGACGAGAAGAGGCGUACCCGUAGAGCAUCUUGUGCAGCUGCCUCCCCACAUUGGAUGAUAAAUCUGUUUACGUGUUCCACAGUUGAGGUAUCAUCAAGCCCCGAAAACUUGGUGAAAUCGAGAACUUUGUACCGAUGAGGAAACGGCAGUAAGUCAUAGGUAGGCGGGUACGGCGUUCUAUAUGUGUAGGUUUGCACCUUCGACUUUAAACCGAAUUACUCUUGAAUCACCUCUGCUAUGCGUGCCGUCCAAUAUGCUUGUUUUUGAUGAACUAUCGGCUGGGGAAUCGGCACGUGUUGGUAGAUCAGCGGCGGGAUGACCGGGUGGUGGACGAAAGCGUGCGGCGCCUGUUGCGACGCAGACGGCUGUGUAGUUGGCAUCGGUUGUCUCAGUGAACCGGCCGUUUCGUCAUAUAGUACAAUCAGCGCAGUAACCCAAAGUGCUUCCGUUGUUUCUGCCCCCCUGCCCAUCUCCAGCGCGACUGGCUGAUACUCUGAGACCAUCGGCCGUACGACCAAUUGGAAUGGUGCCUGGAUCGGAGAGCUUCCAUAGCCAGCUGAUUGAUCUUGGCCGACCGACGUCGAUGGUGCCCCCCAAGAUGCUGAAUUUAGCGAAGAUGAUUGCGCGGAAGAAAUCUGAAUGGGUUGAGGCGGCGCAUGGGGCUAAAGAUAUGGUGCGCCGUUGUAUCCCAGAUGCGUCGAUGACGAAGGAGCACUAGAUCCUCCAGGCUGACCUUGAAUCGGCUGAGGAGCUGAGUAGGGUGAAUUUGGAGAAUUCCUGACCGGGGCUGUGAUAGGUGGUAUCCUCGAGACACACCAUUGGCCAGGGAGCUGAUGACGGCAUUGUAUACCGUAUUAGUUAUCACCGGGGAUUGAUCGAUGAAAGCUUGGUAGACAGAUUGUUGAACCAUCUAGACAUCUUGCCCGAGUCCUCGGCGAUUGUAAUCUGGCGGGGAGUUGGAAAAGGAGCUUUUCUAACAGUUUCCCCGCUCCUGGUACGACUGAAGGAUUGUAAGCAUGUCUUUCGGUAGUGUGCUAUUUGUUUCUCCAGUUCUUCCUUCUGGUCAUCCUUGAGGUCUGCUUCUGUCACCUCGAUGACGUUAUCUUUAAAGAUUUCGGUAGCUUUCAACAUGGUAGCGGUUGUAUUCGUCCCACCGGGCGUGCCAAAAGUGUGUUGACGCUGGAAAUCAGCCGAUUGAAUCUCUAGCGUCAGACACACGACCCGGGAGAAUCUGCUUAACUCCUGUUCGGGUGAUCACCCUAGUGCGGUUCGCGCGGCGUGCCAGCCAAUCUGACCUAUUGAUUGGCAAGGAAAAAAACGUGUCAGAUCCCAGAGGUUGCGAUCGGCUAAGGUUCCGAUCUCGAGAGAGCUUAUCAGCGAAUCGGCCGAUUUGCUAUAAUAAAGAAAUCGGCUAUAAUACAGCCGAUUACCAGGCAACGUUGAUAAAGAAAACUGCUAGAGUAAACUAAACAACGCUACAGUAGCAACACUAGGAACAGGUCUUAAUCGGCUAUGUGGAAAGUGGCAGGUUAAGCGAUAAAAUAUAAGUAAGCCGAAAGCCCUAAUUCCAAGCUGGAUAACUGGUGAUAAAACUAGAACAACAAGUAAAACCUAAAAUCCUAGUGAAUAUUGAUAACUGAUGAAUAAAUCUAAAUGAAACGACAGCGAUACGCCCGAAGUUAAAGCUUAGAUAUUACUCGAUAAACGGAACUUACAGAAUCGGUCGGAGAUCAAGUUGAUGCAGCCCCGCCAACCCGUACGGACUCGUGAAAAGAAGAAAAGUAUUGGCGAAGUCGCCUGCUUGAAAGUAAAGUGCGAGGAAAUAGUAGGUUGUUGUAUUGAUUUGAUGAUGAUUACAGAUCUAUGAAGGCGGCUAUUUAUAGCCUGUUACAACCAAUCUCUUAACCGACUAGGAUUCUAUCUCUAAUUUUAAAUGAAAAUGAAUAUUUACAAGUGUGAUUCGUAUCGGAGUUGAUUGCUGUGUUCCUAUGGGCCGACCCCUUUUAUCUUCGUAAUCCAUUUUGAGCCCAUAUUGUCCCAACUACUCCAGCCUAUCGAUCGGUCGAUUUCUAUCAACUCCCUUCGCCGAAACAUUGCAGCACCAAUCGGCCGAUCUCUAACUGUAGCACCAAUCGGCCGAUUCCCAAUCGUGACCUCCGUGCCUCGCCGCAUCAGCUGAUUCUCACCCUUCUUGACGCCGAUUUCAUACGUGUCAAAAUCUGGCGUCAACAAAUAUUCAUUAAAAUGUGGCCAUUUGUGGUUUAGUUAUAUUUUAUCAUUUGUGAGCAAUCCAUUUGAACUUCAGUAAGAUUAUAAUGUGCCUAAUAAGUGUUGUGUAUGGUCCACAUCAUGCCUUUGUAUCACAAAGUGGUUAGCAAAUUCAAAAAGUAGUGUUGUAUAAGCAGUCUAUAAACAAAAAAAAAUAGAGUAUCAUGUCUACUCCUCAUGUUCUUGUAGUUGAUGACUCUUCUGUUGAUCAUCUUGUUGCAUCAAGAGUUUUAAAGAGUUGUAACAUUGAAGGUGAAAUGACAAGUAUGAACUUUCCAUUCGCAAUCAACAAUCAAUCUUUACUUUUUUUUACCGAAGUCAAUAGGGGAAACCCCUACCUAUUUUUUUAGUAUAAUUUUUUAUUCCAAACCUGUUUAAUUCGCUCCCAGGAAGUUGAACCAUGGCCUGCUGGAUACUAAUCAGCUGCUCUAACCACUAGGCUUGAGGCCCUUUCGCUUCAAUUCAUGGAUUAGUUGUAGAACUGUUAUAUAAGUAUUGCAUGUUUUGUAUGAAAGUGCAUUAAUGGAGGGGUUGCAGCUUAUAUCACCAAACUUGUCAAGGCUGCAUAUGUGCCUAGCCUUCAUAGCUACAUUUGAUGAGCUGAUGAGGGUUAUGAAUAGAGAUAGAAUUAUGGAACUAUGCUAUUAAAUUAUAUUUUCUAUAAUCUAACAAUAGUCAUUAAGAUGUGUCCAUGUAUGGUUCUGUUAUAUUUUAUCAUUUGUGUGCAAUCCAUUUGAACUUUUGUAAGAUUAUAACUUGCCUGUUAAGUAGUCCACAUGCUGCAAUUGUAUCAUAAAGUGGUUAGAACACUCAGAAAAUAGUGUAGUAGGAGCGGCCCAUAAAUAACAAAACAUAGAGUAUCAUGGUCACUCCUCAUGUUCUCGUAAUUCAUGACUCUACUGUUGACCAUCUUGUUGUAUGAAAGUCUUAAAGAUUUGUAACAUUCAAGGUGAAAUGAUUACUAUGAACUUUCCAUUUGCAAUCAACAAUUAACCUUUUCUGAUGUAUUGCUCUUCAAGAUUUAUUUUUGAAGUUUCACAUUCAUUGCAAUGGAGAGAUAACGUAAUUGGACUUAUGUUCUUAUGUAAUAUUAUUGUUAAUGUUUUUCAUAUUCCAAUCUCAAGCAACUUGAGAUAUAAUACAAGUGGUACCUUUAUUUAUAUAUUUUAUUUUUUCCAUUGAAACUACUAAGGAAAUUUGUUUCUACACUCAAAAUUCAUCCAUGAUUAACCACAUCCUUGGUGAUUAGGUGUGCUGAUGAUGCCCCUGAAAGGAUAAAAACUGAAUAUAAAAACAUCAAUACAUGGAUUAAUUAUGAAAUUAUUAUCUAAGUAUUUUGAUUUUGUAUAUGCUUAUUUUGUACGGGUUGCAGCUUAUCAUCAAACUUGUCAAAGUUGUAGAUGUGCCUAGCCUUGUUAGCUAUAUUUGAUGAGCAGGUGAGGGUGAUGAAUAAAGACAGGAUAAUGGAACUAUGUUACUAGGUUAUAUUUCCCGUCAUCUAGAAAUAGUCAUUAAGAUGUGGAUAUGUGUGGUUGUGUUUUAUUUUAUCAUUUGUGUGCAAUCUAUUUGAACUUCAUUGAGAUUAUAAUGUGCCUAGUAAGCAUUGUGUGUGGUCCACAAAAUGUUUAUUAUCUCAAAGUGGUUAUCAAACUUAGAAAGUAGUGUUGUAUUAGUGGCCCAUAAAUAUAAAAAUAGAGAGUAUCGUCGUCACUCCUCAUGUUCUAGUAGUUGAUGACUCUUCUAUUGAUCAUCUUGUUGCAUCGAGAGUCUUAAAGUGUUGUAACAUUCAAGGUGCAAUGUUUACUAUGAACUUUCCAUUGUGUUAUAUUUUAUAAUUCGUUUGCAAUCAAUUUGAACUUCUAUGAGAAUAUAAUUUGGAUAUUACGUAUUGUGUAUGGUCCACAUCAUGCCUUUUUAUUACAAAGUGGUUAGUAAACUCAAAAUGUAUUGUUGUAUGAGUGGCCCAUAAAUAAAAAAACAAAGAGAAUGAUGGCCACUCCUCAUGUUCUCGUAGUUGAUGGCUCUUCUAUUGGUCAUCUUGUUGCACGAGAGUCUUAAAGAGUUGUAACAUUCAAGGUGCAAUGUUUACUCUGAACUCCCCAUUAUGUUAUAUUUUAUUAUUUGGUUACAAUCCAUUUGACUUCUACGAGCCUAUAAUUUGUCUCUUACAUAUUGUGUGUGGCUCAUCCUGCCUUUGUAUCACAAAGUGGUUAGUAAACUCAAAAAGUAGUCUUGUAUGAGCGGCCCAUAAAUAAAAAAACAAAGAGUAUCAUGGCCACUUCUCAUGUUCUCGUAGUUGAUGACUCUUUUGUUGAUAAUUUUGUUGCAUCGAGAAUCUUGACGAGUUGUAACCAUCAAGGUGCAAUGAUUACUAUGAACUUUCCAUUUGUAAUCAUAUUCUUAUGUAAUAUUUUCAUCAAUGUUUUUUCUAUUUCAAUUAGAUGCAACUUUAGAUAUAGUAUAAAUACUAUGUCUAUUUUAAACAUUAUAUGUUUUUUCCAUUAAACUAGUAAUGAAAUUUUAUUUCUUCACUCAUAAUCAUCCAAGCUUAGUCACAUCCCUAUGGUCAUUAUGGGCAAACUGUAUGAAAAUAUUCAAUUAAUUUAUUAGUUAUAGAAUUGUUACCGAUGUAUUCAGUUUUUGUAUAUGCAUGUUUUGUAUGGAAGUACCUUGAAGGAAGAUUUGCAACUUAUAUCAUCAAACUUGUCAAAGCUGCAAAUGUGUCUAACCUUCUUAGCUACAUUUGAUGAGCUGAUGAGGGUGAUGAAUAAAAAUGGUGUAAUGGAAGUCUACUAUUAAGUUAUAUCUCAUGUGAUCUAACAAUCAUCAUUUAUAUGUGGCUAGUUGUGUUUUUCUUAUAUUUUAUCAUUUGUGUGCAAUCCAUUUGAAUUUCUAUGAGACUAUAAUAUGGCUAUUAAGUAUUAUGUGUGGUCCACAUCAUGCCUUUGUAUCACAAACUGGUUAGCAAACUUAUAAAAUGGUGUUGUAUUAGCAUUCCAUAAAUAAAAAAAUAGAGAGUAUCAUGGACACUUUUUGUAUUCUCAUAGUUGAUGAUUUUUCUAUUGAUCAUCUUGUUGCAUCGAGAGUCUUAAAGAGUUGUAACAUUCAAGGUGCAACGAUUAUUGUGAACCUUCCAUUGUCAAUGUCCAAUCAACCUUUUUUGAUGUAUUAUUGUUUUAUUUUUUUUAUUUUUAAGUUCCAAACUUGUUGCAAAAGGAGGGAAAUAUUUUAUGAAAGUUACUUAAUGGAAGGGUUGUAGCUUAUAUCACCAAUAAUAUCAGAGUUGUAGAUGUGCCUAGCCUUCGUAGCUACAUUUUAUGAGCUGAUGAGGAUGAUGAAUAAACAUGGGAUAGAACUCUAUUACAGGAUUAUAUAUAUCCUACUAUCUAACAAUCUUAUUUGGAUAUGGACAAUUGUAGGCUCCCCUACCGGUCCGUCAAAGAAAAGAUAUGGACAUAUGUGUUUCUGUUAUAUUUUAUCAUUUGUGUACAAUUCAUAUAAACUUAACAACUGUAAGAUUAUAAUGUGGAGUAUUGUGUGUGGUCAACAUCAUCUCUUUGUAUUAUAAUCUGAUCAGCUGCAAACUCAGAAAUUAGUACUGUAUUAGCAGCCCACAAAUUGUUACCCGUUAUGUUUAGUAUGGUGAAUAUAUUCUCCUGAUCCCUUGUUUAAUUUUCCACAAAUUGUGCAAAAGUUAAUAAAUAAAACUUGUAGACUCUACUAUGGGUGUGGGUUCUAUCCAAGGUUCUGAAAGUUCUAUAGAUAGCAACACAAGAAGAAAACUGGCCAAUGAACUUUUGAAAUCAUUUAAAACGUGCAAACAACACGAAGAAGUCAAUUAAGCUGGUCCAUAUGGACAGAUCAACUGCUUCUAAUAGCUUGUUGAAUCUGGUAGCAUCCACUAUAUAGUUCUAGUAGUUUCCACAUCUCAUUCACUAUCAAAGUAAGAAUUCUAGUUAAUAUGCACUAAGUAGGAGAAGAAUUCACAACAGAUGCUAGCCUUAACUCAUCAUCACAAAAAUAAACCGAAGAAAAUAAAUCAAUAUUUUGGGUUAAGCAUUAAAUGAUUUUAUUAAAAAUCAUAAAGCAUCACUACAAAGAUAGAAAAGUGGCAUGUUCGCUUCAGCUUAUUCAGCCGGCUUAUCAGCCACCAAACAGUGUUUUCCUCUCACAACAAAUCAGCCGUUUCAGCUUUUCAGCCGGCUUAUAAGCUGAAGCGAACAGGCCCAGAAUCAUAAUGUCGAUGAGUGGAAUACUGAAACUCAUAUAGUUGAAAUGCAAAUACUAGUCUAGAACAGCUUAAGAAGAUUUCCUAUGAGGAUAGACAAUGGUUAUUUCACAGCUCCCUAUCAUAAGUUGCAGGAUGUUACUAAAGUUGCCUCUAUUACAUCUAAAGAUUGUAAACACAUCCAUAUUCAAGGAAACUAAAAAUAAUAAAUGUUAAUAUAACAACUUACAGAGGUUCAAACUGUAUACACAAAGAUUGGAGUUUGUUCUUAGUAUUGUAUCGCAAGCAUACAUGAGCAUGAAGACAUGAUGAAUUGAUUACAUGAGGAUCAACAUUUCCUAAGAGUGCCUCAACUUUGACUGGGACCUUGAGCUGGAGAUGAAAUACUUGUACCUGACCAAGGUAUUGGUAGACUGAUCUUCACCAAGAUCUUGCCCUACAAUGCAAAUGUUAGUAUGGUCAUUAUUUGAAAAACAUCAUAUAACAACGAAAUAAGAAAGUUAUGCAAACAACCCUUAUACCAUUGUAUACAUCUUUUUCCUUAAAUAACCAAUCUUUCCUACACACAAAGGCUUCUAACAUCUCCAGAGUUAGUGAACUUUUUGACUUCCCAAGAAUCCUACCUCCAAGACUAAAGGUGGAUUCGGAAGACACAGUGCUAAGAGGAAUGGCGAGAAAAUCAUGUGUCAUGGUUGAUAAGAUUAGGAACUUCUCAGCAUGUGCCUUCCACCAUGCCAAAAUGUGAAAGUUUUCAUAUCCUCCACAUAAUCUUCUUCAAAGUACAUGUCAAAUUUAGACUUUGGUACCCGAGUCUUUCUCCAACUUGACUUGAAAUUUGCAAAUUCUUGUCCUAUCUACUAUUUCACAAGCAUCAUUGAGCCCACAACACUAAUGCCCUCACUUGAAUAUGUCAUAGAUUAUGCACCACCUCUCCUCACACAUUGCUCAUACUCCAUAAAGUAUUUCUUCAUCCAACCUAGAGCAACAUUGACACUUGUAUGAAUCCGAUCUAUAUUCAUACAAAUCUUUUGAUAGAAGAACUCCAACUAUUAUGCUCCCCUCGGAUCUAACAUUAUGUCAAUAACAAUUCCAAAGUUGACAUCAUAAUCCUUUUUAUUUUUUGCAAGGAGUAGUCUGAUUUGACUCAUCAAAAUCUAUACCCCAAUACUUUGCAAACUUGAUCUUCAUGGCUGCAGCCAAGUUUUGUAGCGCCACACUCGUUUGGCAAGCAGGGUCAUCCAAGGCAUCCUGAAUCAAAAGAACCAAAGGCAAGAACUUGUGUGAAGUUGGUUUCCUAUCAGCUGAUACUACCUUUGUAGCCUCUUCAAAGGUUUUAAGAAACCUAUAGAUUGAUUCAGAUUUGCUCCACUCUUCUUCAUUUGGGGAAAUUUCAAUAUCUUGAUUUGCAUAGCUAUUAAGGACCACAUUGUACUUUAUUCCUCCAAACAUUCUGAAGGUGAAAUUCCAAAGGUUGGGUAUGUCAAGAGGAAUACCACAUUUUGUAGGAAGACCAUUCACCAAUGCAAUUAUAUUAAAAUCUUUUAUUUGUCAUGGUAAAGAGUUCAUAUGCUUUGAGAGCUCCUGAAUCUUCUUUAUCCCCUCAUGAAUAAUCUUCAUGCCAUCCUGAACCAAAAUAUUCACGAUAUGUGCACAACAUCUUACAUACAAAUGUGCACCCUCAAACAUCAACUCAUGCUUCUAGAAACACCAACUCCUCCCAUGCGCUAUUGUUGUUACUAGCAUUAUCCAUUGUUAGAGUAAACAACUUGUUUCGUAUGCCCCAUUUGGUUAGGCCACUCACAAGUGCUUCUUCAAUGGCAAAGCAUGUGUGUGGAUACUUCACCUUCUUAUUAUCUUCUUCUUUAUCUUGAAGUCAGGAGUGAUAAGAUGAGCUGUUAUAAUAUGUAGCCUAAGUUUUUUAUCAAUGUCCACAAAUCUGACGUUAGACACACACGGUAGUCUAGGCUUUGAAGUUCAUUCUAAAGAUCUUGCUUCAUUCUCUGAUACUUUUUUAGACAAUCAUUGUGAAUAGUUUGUCGCCCUAUAUCAGCAUGUAUGACAAACUCAAUCAUACGCUCAGUGAAAAGCUUAGGGACAAACAUAAAGUUUUCUAUAGGUUUCUUCAAUGUUACUAUAAACCUUUAAAAUCAUCAUCAACUCGCACACAGCUUUAAAACCAUCAUCAACUCCUACUAGAUUCUGCUCAAAAUGUUUCCCAACCUUGGACCUUUUAGCAUGUGUUUUUGUUUAAUGAGAAUCAUCAGAUCUUUCAGAUGUGUUUGCAGAAAUGUUAAGGUAACAGGCUAGAAAAUAAAAUCACUAUGUAAGAAAGCAGGUUCAACAACAUAUAAGAAAUCUUAUUUUAGGUUUUUGCAUUUUUAUUUAUUCUAUCUAAUAAAAUCAAGGAACAACAUUUAGGUAUAUAUAAAAAAGAGAGAACAUGAUGAAGGACAGAACAAUUUAGUAGACCAACAGGGAGUAAAAGGGCUUUGCAAAAAAGAACUAGUGCUGUCAUUCCAUUAGCUCUAUUCCUGAACAUAUAAGAACUUCUAUGCGCUAUUAAUUGAAUAGCACAUCUCUAGUGCUAGUAUGUACUACAAAAGUUGGCAGACUACUCUGACAGUAGUGGAAUACAACUACUCUAAAUGCAUUUAGUUAUAGUGAUUAGUUCACAUUCUAGUGAGCUACUCCUAUAGCCUCGAUGCUGCAUAAUUAAGUUGGUAGACUACAUCACUAUCUCUGGAGAAGAAAAAUGCUUAGAGGUUGCCAACCAAAAAGAGUGUGGUUGGAUAUUCAGAUCUAAAAUGUGUAGAUCAGUCUCGCAAGAUUAAGUCUAGCUAACCAAACAUUUCAAUUGGAAAAUACAACCUAUGCUUUUCCCUUUUUAACAUAAAUGGUAACAUUACUACUUCUAGGAAAAAGUCCACUUACUGUACUUAAUUUAACUGCCAAAACUAAGCUGCUUACAUCCAGGGAAAAUUCUUUUUACCAUACAUCUCUGGUGGCUUGAUGAUUUGGCAGGUACAAAGACGGGAAGAGCGCAAGAACACCCAAGAACCCACAUCGCGAGCAUGAGGUACAAACCUUAGGCAAUACGAGAUCGAGAAGAUGACGGGGGAUGAACUCACAAGACUAGCUGCCGAGGGGGGAAGACGAGGUGGAGGCGUCGUGGCGGAUGCGAAGGAGGCGGCCGACGUGGAGGUGCCCGUGUCUAAGGGGAUGGGAUGGAGAGGAGGCAUGCCUUGGUGUUGCCUGCGGGUGAGCGAGGUGGAGGCUUUGCGGCGGCGUGGGCGAGGUGGAUGUGGAGGCGUGGCUACGGCGGUGGGGAAAGGGAGGCGAGGCGAGGCUACGAGGGGUUAGCAUAGUCUCUAUAGGCGGCCC
rnacentral:lncRNA from 1 species